rnacentral:rRNA from 1 species
AUUGAACGCUGGCGGCAUGCCUUACACAUGCAAGUCGAACGGUAACAGGUCUUCGGAUGCUGACGAGUGGCGAACGGGUGAGUAAUACAUCGGAACGUGCCUAGUAGUGGGGGAUAACUACUCGAAAGAGUGGCUAAUACCGCAUGAGAUCUACGGAUGAAAGCAGGGGAUCGCAAGACCUUGUGCUACUAGAGCGGCCGAUGGCAGAUUAGGUAGUUGGUGGGAUAAAAGCUUACGAAGCCGACGAGCUGUAGCUGGUCUGAGAGGACGAUCAGCCACCCUGGGACUGAGACACGGCCCAGACUCCUACGGGAGGCAGCAGUGGGGAAUUUUGGACAAUGGGCGAAAGCCUGAUCCAGCAAUGCCGCGUGCAGGAUGAAGGCCUUCGGGUUGUAAACUGCUUUUGUACGGAACGAAAAGCCCCGGGUUAAUACCCUGGGGUCAUGACGGUACCGUAAGAAUAAGCACCGGCUAACUACGUGCCAGCCGCCGCGGUAA